GACGAACGUUGGCGGCGUGCUUAAUACAUGCAAGUCAACUGAAGCAGUGGUAGCAAUAUCGCUGUGGAGGUGGCGCACGGGUGAGUAACACGUAGGUAAUCUGCCUUCAGGUCUGGCAUAACUCCGGGAAACCGGGGCUAAUAGCAGAUGAUGCAGCGGCUCGACAUCGAGACAGUUGUUAAAGCUAUGGCGCCUGAAGAUGAGCCUGCGUCUGAUUAGCUAGUUGGCGGGGUAACGGCCCACCAAGGCAACGAUCAGUAGCUGGUCUGAGAGGAUGAUCAGCCACACUGGAACUGAGACACGGUCCAGACUACUACGGGAGGCAGCAGUAAGGAAUAUUGCUCAAUGGGAGAAAUCCUGAAGCAGCAACGCCGCGUGAGGGACGAAGGGCUUUUGCUUGUAAACCUCUGUAGUGAGAGAAAAAAAUCCCAAUCUUUGGGACAUGAUGGUAUCUCAAAAGUAAGCCCCGGCUAACUACG
rnacentral:rRNA from 1 species